UAGGGAAUCUUCGGCAAUGGGGGGAACCCUGACCGAGCAACGCCGCGUGAGUGAAGAAGGUUUUCGGAUCGUAAAGCUCUGUUGUUAAGGAAGAACGAGUGUGAGAAUGGAAAGUUCAUGCUGUGACGGUACUUAACCAGAAAGGGACGGCUAACUACGUGCCAGCAGCCGCGGUAAUACGUAGGUCCCGAGCGUUGUCCGGAUUUAUUGGGCGUAAAGCGAGCGCAGGCGGUUAGAAAAGUCUGAAGUGAAAGGCAGUGGCUCAACCAUUGUAGGCUUUGGAAACUGUUUAACUUGAGUGCAGAAGGGGAGAGUGGAAUUCCAUGUGUAGCGGUGAAAUGCGUAGAUAUAUGGAGGAACACCGGUGGCGAAAGCGACUUUCUGGUCUGUCACUGACGCUGAGGCCCGAAAGCGUGGGUAGCAAACAGG
rnacentral:rRNA from 1 species